rnacentral:lncRNA from 1 species
AAAAGCUCCCAGAUUCAUUUUUCAGUGAUGAGGCACAGAAUUUUGUAGGCAACUUCUUGAAGGUGGUAAGUGUGCCUCUUACUCCUAUGCAAUUACUCAUGGCAACUAGUCCUUCAACUCUUUAUUUUAGUCAUCAACACAGGGUCUGUCAUGUUCAGAACAGGAUUGGCUGGGUGAAGGGGUGUGGCACCAGUAACCCUCAGGAAUACAGGCCGCAGAGCUAAUGAAGAGCCCCAAGGAAAGAAAGACCUACCCAUCGCUCUGAAUCCUCUCCCCCACCAUGCCACAGACCUGAGGGCACGUGACCCAGGAAUGUGCAUCUGAAGAUAAUACUACCUUCAGAGAACUCUACUUAUAGGUAAUUAAAAAAAAAAAAAGAUUCAUGACUCUUUAAGCUCUUUUCUUGUAAGAAGACAGCCUACUCUUUCAUGUGCUGGAGUCGGGAGACACUUCUCAAGGCAGCUAUAAUAAAGCUCUGAGUUCUUCCUUGGGCCUUUAACUAGGCCUUUACGCUGUUGUUAAUCAAUAAACAUUUAUUGAAUGAAUAACUGAAUGGAUAAA